rnacentral:rRNA from 1 species
UACGUAGGGUGCGAGCGUUGUCCGGAAUUAUUGGGCGUAAAGAGCUUGUAGGUGGCUCGUUGCGUCGGGAGUGAAAACCUGCGGCUUAACCGCAGGCCUGCUUUCGAUACGGGCGAGCUAGAGUUCGGCAGGGGAGACUGGAAUUCCUGGUGUAGCGGUGGAAUGCGCAGAUAUCAGGAGGAACACCGGUGGCGAAGGCGGGUCUCUGGGCCGAUACUGACACUGAGAGGCGAAAGCGUGGGGAGCGAACAGG